rnacentral:rRNA from 1 species
UACGUAGGGGGCAAGCGUUGUCCGGAAUCAUUGGGCGUAAAGCGCGUGUAGGCGGCCAGAAACGUCCGCUGUGAAAACUCGAGGCUCAACUUCGAGCUGUCGGUGGGAACUUUCUGGCUAGAGUCCGGAAGAGGAGAAUGGAAUUCCUGGUGUAGCGGUGAAAUGCGCAGAUAUCAGGAAGAACACCCGUGGCGAAGGCGGUUCGCUGGGACGGUACUGACGCUGAGACGCGAAAGCGUGGGGAGCGAACAGG